rnacentral:rRNA from 1 species
UACGUAGGGUGCAAGCGUUAAUCGGAAUUACUGGGCGUAAAGCGUGCGCAGGCGGUUUUGUAAGUCUGUCGUGAAAUCCCCGGGCUCAACCUGGGAAUUGCGAUGGAGACUGCAAGGCUAGAAUCUGGCAGAGGGGGGUAGAAUUCCACGUGUAGCAGUGAAAUGCGUAGAGAUGUGGAGGAACACCGAUGGCGAAGGCAGCCCCCUGGGUCAAGAUUGACGCUCAUGCACGAAAGCGUGGGGACAAACGAGG